rnacentral:rRNA from 1 species
GUUAUGAUCUUGAAAUUUAAAGGAUUUGGCGGUGUCCCAACUCGUCAGAGGAACCUGUUCUUGAAACGAUAUGCCACGAAAAAUCUUACUUUGUCUUGUACUAAAUGCAGCUGGUAUACCGCCAUUAUAUAAACACUUCAAGGUGGAAUGACAGAAGAGCUUAAAAUCCUACUUAUAUUAGGUCAAGGUGCCGCUUAUGACAAAGGUAGUGAUGGGUUACAUUGUAUUUUAUAAUUUCGGAGGGGAACUUGAAACAGUUCUUUGAAGUCGGAUUUGAUUGUAAGUCUGUUGUUAGUAUGCUAGAUUGAUAACAGCGCUGGGGCGUGUACAAAUAGCCCGUCGCUCGCGGGAAAA